rnacentral:rRNA from 1 species
UACGAAGGGGGCUAGCGUUGCUCGGAAUCACUGGGCGUAAAGGGUGCGUAGGCGGGUUUUUAAGUCAGGGGUGAAAUCCUGGAGCUCAACUCCCAGAACUGCCUUUGAUACUGAAGAUCUUGAGUCCGGGAGAGGUGAGUGGAACUGCGAGUGUAGAGGUGAAAUUCGUAGAUAUUCGCAAGAACACCCGUGGCGAAGGCGGCUACUCUGGGACCGGUACUGACGCUGAGGUGCGAAAGCGUGGGAGCAACAGG